rnacentral:lncRNA from 12 species
AUCUAGAUGUAUUGCCCAUCCCAUGGAUUUGCUGCUCCACCAGAGGCAGAGAUCUUUUUAAGAGCCAUCAGUCAACAGAUCUGGGUCAUCUGCAUUCAUGACUUCCUUGGGAACCAGGGGAUACUGGGCCACAUGGAUCUCUGGAAAGCACCUCCAUCUCCAAGAUCCUCUAAUUACCUAGGUAUUUGGCCUUUCAGGUAUCUAUCAGGGAAAUUCUCUUCAGGAGGAGACCAGUGAGGUCUGUCAUGAUCCCUGGGAU